UACGUAGGGUGCGAGCGUUAAUCGGAAUUACUGGGCGUAAAGCGUGCGCAGGCGGUUAUGCAAGACAGAUGUGAAAUCCCCGGGCUCAACCUGGGAACUGCAUUUGUGACUGCAUGACUGGAGUACGGCAGAGGGGGAUGGAAUUCCGCGUGUAGCAGUGAAAUGCGUAGAUAUGCGGAGGAACACCGAUGGCGAAGGCAGUCCCCUGGGCCUGUACUGACGCUCAUGCACGAAAGCGUGGGGAGCAAACAGG
rnacentral:rRNA from 1 species